AUGAACGCUGGCGGCGUGCUUAACACAUGCAAGUCGCACGAAACACCUUAUUUGAUUUUCUUCGGAACUGAAGAUUUGGUGAUUGAGUGGCGGACGGGUGAGUAACGCGUGGGUAACCUGCCCUGUACAGGGGGAUAACAGUCAGAAAUGACUGCUAAUACCGCAUAAGACCACAGCACCGCAUGGUGCAGGGGUAAAAACUCCGGUGGUACAGGAUGGACCCGCGUCUGAUUAGCUGGUUGGUGAGGUAACGGCUCACCAAGGCGACGAUCAGUAGCCGGCUUGAGAGAGUGAACGGCCACAUUGGGACUGAGACACGGCCCAAACUCCUACGGGAGGCAGCAGUGGGGAAUAUUGCACAAUGGGGGAAACCCUGAUGCAGCGACGCCGCGUGAGUGAAGAAGUAUUUCGGUAUGUAAAGCUCUAUCAGCAGGGAAGAAAAUGACGGUACCUGACGAAGAAGCCCCGGCUAACUACGUG
rnacentral:rRNA from 1 species